GGCGCUAUAGCCAAGUGGUUACGGCGACAGAUUAGAAUGACUUAUGCUUACAUAAGCAUCACGUGAUCUGUUCCUCUUUGAGGGCGCAGGUUCGAAUCCUGCUGGCGUCG
rfam:Hydnomerulius pinastri MD-312 unplaced genomic scaffold scaffold_5, whole genome shotgun sequence.